UACCCGUAGCUCCGAAAUCGUGU
rnacentral:miRNA from 1 species